CGGGCUCUCGCCAGCAGACUUUUUCGCCAAGCGCAAGAGACCCGCGCCUGAGGCCAAGGCGUCCAACGAGGUGCCCGGAGGAUGCACCGCGCCUGGCGGCGGAGCUCCGGGAUCCUCGGAGCAAACCCCCCGUAAGCGUCUGAGAUGAGCCUCUUGCCCAAAGAGCCCGAGGGAGCCGCUGGGCAGCGGACAGGAGGAGCUGGGCCUCGGCUGGGACCGUCCAUGUAGCAAGCAACCGGUGGCAGCUGCCGCGAAGCAGCCUUCGGUUUUGUGUUUCAAGUUGGAAAACUGUGCAAUGUAUUAAUAACUCCUUUAUAUCUAAAUGUAUUCUGCCCGAGGAGUACACUGGUCCCAAGGUGUAAAAGCUUUAAGAGUCAUUUAUAGAAAAUGUUUAAUCUCUGCUGAAACUCAGUGCAAAAAAAAAAAAUGAAAAAAAGAAAAAAAAAUGAAAAAAAUGUAUAUUUGUACAAAAACUUAAAAAAAAAAAAAGUUAUACUAACUUAUAUUUUCUAUUUAUGUCCAGGCGUGGGCCGCUCUGCCACGCAGUAGCUUGGUUAUUGGUUAUGCCAAAGGCACGUCACCCGCACCUGUUAUCUAUCCACAAUGUAAAUUUACUCCGUAGCGGACUCUGGGGGGCCUCCCCCAAGCCCUAGCUGCCUGCGUACCAGCCCACCGCGCUUGCCGCCUCUCCGCCCUUUCGCUUGCUGUCUCUCUUAUUGUUAGGAUUGUUUUACACUUGAAGACACCUCUGUUAAAAUGGUUCCUGAGCCGUCUGCACCACUGCCCCGGUCCCUCCUCCGCCGGGUUCAAAAUAAAGAGGCCAAAAAAUUGCUGCA